UAAGGAGGGUGCAGGCGUUGUUCGGAAUCACUGGGCGUAAAGCGCGUGUAGGCGGCUUGGCAAGUCGGGUGUGAACUCCCGAGGCUCAGCCUCGGAGCUGCACUGGAAACUGCCUGGCUCGAGUCCCGGAGAGGGUGGCUGAAUUCCCGGUGUAGGGGUGAAAUCCGUAGAUAUGGGGAGGAGCACCAGUGGCGAAGGCGGCCACCUGGACGGUGACUGACGCUGAUGCACGAAAGCGUGGGGAGCAAACAGG
rnacentral:rRNA from 1 species